rnacentral:rRNA from 1 species
CAGCAGUAAGAAUAUUGGGCAAUGGAGGCAAUCUGAAGGCACCCUUGCCCGGUGGAAGAAGACGGCCUAUGGGUUGGAAACUGGUUUUCCAGGGAAAUAAACCCCCGUCCGGGACCGGGCUUGAAUGGACCUUAAGAAUAAGCCCCGGCUAACAUCGGGG